CCUACGGGAGGCUGCAGUGAGGAAUAUUGGUCAAUGGACGCAAGUCUGAACCAGCCAUGCCGCGUGCAGGAAGACGGCUCUAUGAGUUGUAAACUGCUUUUGUACGGGAGUAAACGCGUAGACGCGUAUCUGUCUGAAAGUAUCGUACGAAUAAGGAGCGGCUAACUCCGUGCCAGCAGCCGCGGUAAUACGGAGGAUUCAAGCGUUAUCCGGAUUUAUUGGGGUUAAAGGGUGCGUAGGCGGUAGGAUAAGUUAGAGGUGAAAUCCCGGGGCCCAACCUCGGAAUUGCCUCUGAUACUGUUCGGCUAGAGAGUAGUUGAGGUAGGCGGAAUGCAUGGUGUAGCGGUGAAAUGCGUAGAGAUCAUACAGAACACCGAUUGCGAAGGCAGCUUACCAAGCUACUUCUGACGUUGAGGCACGAAAGCGUGGGGAGCAAACAGGAUUAGAUACCCCAGUAGUC
rnacentral:rRNA from 1 species